rnacentral:rRNA from 1 species
CUGCCCUAUGUUUUAUUAUAAAUGGCCGCAGUAAUUUGACUGCGCUAAGGUAGCAUAAUUACUAGCCUUUUAAUUGGAGGAUUGUUUGAAUGGUUUAACAAGAUGACUUAGGAGGUGCAAGCUUUUGAUGAAAUUGGUUAGUUGGUGCAGAGCCCAACUUUUUUUAGUUAGACGGAAAGACCCCGAGAGCUUUACAGAUUUGUUUAUUGGGGCAAAGGCACUUAUUUCAGGUGUUUUGGGUUGUUUAUAGAAGGUUUAAGUUACCUCGGGGAUAACUAGGUGAUAAAUGAGGGGAGUACGUAUCUAUUUGUUUGUUUGCCAUCUCGAUGUUGACUUAAAGUAAUUGCUGAGGCGUAGAGGCUUUAGUGGAGGGUCUGUUCGACCUUUAGUCUUUUCAUGAGUUGAGUUAAGACCGGA